rnacentral:lncRNA from 10 species
GAAACACAGCCUUUGGGACAAAGUGAAAGUGUGCUCCAAGAAGAGGUUGGAGAGUCGGAGAUUAUAAAGGCAAAAAACUGCAAGGCCAUGAAGGGGGAUCUGGGGAAACUGACUUCAAGGGACUCCUUCGGGGACACCAGAACCAGCCAGCUGACACCUCCUCUUCAGAAGUCUGAGUCCCAGGCCCACUGAUCGCUCUUCCAAGCUUCCAGGCCACAAUAAUGCCAACUGUUUCCCUUUGUUUCCUGACUCGGGGUGGUCAUUGUUCCCCACAGUUUCUACUUCCAUGAUAACUUUGAUGCUUUUGUGGUUCACAGCUUUAGAUCUGGUUAACAAUUCUUAAACACAUAAUAAAUUAAUUUUGCUGAAAAACUUAAGUUAAUUAUUAAGUGUUUCUUGUAAUAAACAGAAUAUUAAUGGUAUUAGGGACUCAGCUCCACUGAUUAUAAUAGAUACUGCAAACCUAACAUUAUAGAAAAAAAAGAGAACCUUUCAACAAAUCAUUUUACUUUUUUGUUUUAAAAAAAGCUUUACAUUGAAAGGACAGAACAAAUAAUGAAUAAAAUAAUUCAGCCUAACUGAAUGAGGAAAUAAAAGAAACUCAAGAUAUUUUAGGUAAGAAUAGGAUAGGGCAAAAAGGAAAAAAUGGAAAAUAUAGACUUUUACCACUAAGGUAGAAGACAUCAUAUUAAACAUCAUGUAUGAAGGCAGUAAGUGUUGGCAUGAGUUUAGUAAAAAAAAUGUUAAGCCAAACUACCUUGAUUGCCUUUCACCCCAAAUUAAAGAAUAUGUACAAUUUGUAAACACACAUACACACACACACAUCAAAAACUCGAAAGUGAAAAGUCAGGACAAUGUCAAAUAUACCACAUAAAUUAUCAAACAAGUUAACUUGAGAAAGCCUCUGCUGAUAUCCUUGUGAAUAAAAUGGAAUAAUGAAGUGAAUUAUUGUAUAGUCAGGUGGAUGUGUG